rnacentral:rRNA from 1 species
CCUACGGGGGGCAGCAGUGAGGAAUAUUGGUCAAUGGGCGGAAGCCUGAUCCAGCCAAGUCGCGUGAGGGAAUAAGGCCCUACGGGUCGUAAACCUCUUUUGCCGGGGAGCAAGGGCCGGGACGCGUCCCGGCCCGGAGAGUACCCGGAGAAAAAGCAUCGGCUAACUCCGUGCCAGCAGCCGCGGUAAUGCGGAGGAUGCGAGCGUUAUCCGGAUUUAUUGGGUUUAAAGGGUGCGUAGGCGGGCUUUUAAGUCAGCGGUAAAAAUUCGGGGCUCAACCCCGUCCGGCCGUUGAAACUGGGGGG